rnacentral:rRNA from 1 species
CGACGGGUGAGUAACACGUGGAUAACCUACCUAUAAGACUGGGAUAACUUCGGGAAACCGGAGCUAAUACCGGAUAAUAUUUUGAACCGCAUGGUUCAAAAGUGAAAGACGGUCUUGCUGUCACUUAUAGAUGGAUCCGCGCUGCAUUAGCUAGUUGGUAAGGUAACGGCUUACCAAGGCAACGAUGCAUAGCCGACCUGAGAGGGUGAUCGGCCACACUGGAACUGAGACACGGUCCAG